rnacentral:misc_RNA from 1 species
AGUGUAUCAUCUCUUUCUAUAUAUGAUCAUAUACUGGUAUAUAAAGUACUUGUAGUUGGUAUUUUACAUCAAAUUUGGAUCUUCAUCACGAUGUAUGGAAUUCUUGAAUUGUUGUUACAGUAGAUGUGUUUUUUUAAAAUAAUAAACUGCAUACAUUAAUAACGUUUGAAAAUUCCCAUAGUUGCUAGGUAUUCUUACUAAUUUUUUGUAAUGUUUACUUUGGCACAUACCAUGUAUAGCAUAAUACACACAGUCCUUAGAUGUUUUUUUGUAAACUGCCUUUACCUACUUGAAAUGUUGAACAAUGCUUUUAUCCUUACAUUUUUUUUAAAAUCUUGUGAGUUUUCAUUUCCAAUUCAUUUACAUUUCUAACCAACCCUUUGAGACUUUUUAAAUUGUAGUGAUUUAACCUCGUUAUGGUUGUAAAUAAGCCGUCAUAAAGUUCAAGUUUUUAUGAUUUCAUUUUUGAUUGUUCAAUGAUAUUUUUUAUUAAAAGCUUAAAAUGUUUAGUAUGUUAAUCUUGCAUACGAUUCAAAAUGGAACAUUUUGGUAGCUUGUAUCAUUUAUUAUUGGUAUUUGAUGGUUGAUUUGUUUUCAAUAAAGAUAUAUUACCAAAUC